UACGGGGGGAGCAAGCGUUGUUCGGAUUUACUGGGCGUAAAGGGCGCGUAGGCGGCCAACUAAGUCAGACGUGAAAUCCCUCGGCUUAACCGGGGAACUGCAUCUGAUACUGGAUGGCUUGAGUUCGGGAGAGGGAUGCGGAAUUCCAGGUGUAGCGGUGAAAUGCGUAGAUAUCAGGUGGAACACCAGUGGCGAAGGCGGCUUUCUGGACGAUUACUGACGCUGAGACGCGAAAGCGUGGGGAGCAAACAGG
rnacentral:rRNA from 1 species